GACAGAGGGUGCAAACGUUUGUUCGGAAUUACUGGGCGUAAAGCGCGUGUAGGCUGCUCGGAAAGUCGGAUGUGAAAGCCCUGGGCUCAACCUAGGAAGUGCAUUCGAAACUUCCGAGCUGGAGUGCUGGAGAGGAAGGCGGAAUUCUCGGUGUAGAGGUGAAAUUCGUAGAUAUUGGGAAGAACACCGGUGGCGAAGGCGGCCAACUGGACCACAACUGACGCUGAGGCGCGAAAGCGUGGGGAGCAAACAGG
rnacentral:rRNA from 1 species